GGAUAACUGUGGUAAUCCUAGAGCUAAUACAUAAAAAUGAUUGUCCGUUAAUGAAACCAGCACACAUAUGUUGUUGAAAGGCUCCAUUGUGUUGUGUAACGGAAUGAAGAAAACGGAAGCGUUUGCUAUUAAGAAAUAGCACUAUGCGUCUUAAAGGUGAUAGAUUUGUCUGUUCAUUUGACGCUGCCCCAAUUGUGGGAUGAUGAAAACAUAGCAAAUGUGAAGCGUAUCGGUAUUUCAGCCGGCGCUGUACCCCAAAGGGGACUGCCCUAUCAGCUAGAUUGUAAAUUAUUGGUUUACAAUGGCGAUAACGGGUAACGGGGAAUCAGGGUUCGAUUCCGGAGAGGGAGCCUGAGAAAUGGCUACCACAUCUAAGGAAGGCAGCAGGCACGCAAAUUACCCAUUCUCAGUAUGAGGAGGUAGUGAAAAUAAAUAACGAUGCGAGACUCUUCCGAGGCCUUGCAAUCGGAAUGAGCUUGGUUUAAACCAGUGGGCAAUGAUCCAUUGGAGGGCAAGUCUGGUGCCAGCAGCCGCGGUAAUUCCAGCUCCAAGAGCGUAUGUUAAAGUUGUUGUGGUUAAAACGCUCGUAGUUGAACAUAAGUUCAAUUGGAGGCACAAAUAGUAGAUGGAAAGUAUGGGCUAGUAGCAUGGUUCGGGCGUCGGUGGUGAUUUUGAGUUGAGAAACGUAUUUCGGUACGUGGUAAAUGAUAAAGAUUUUGGUGGAAAUCGAUUGGUCGUAAAUGUGAGAAUUUCUUCGUUAAUAGCUUUGCGUCCGAUUUGAUUAGGAAUCUCAUUAAAGCCUACGACUCUCUUUCCUACACGGCCGACCUGCGCUGCUCACAGAAUUUUUAAAUAAUGAUCCUUUGAGUUAAAGGACAGUAGGAUAUAGCGCGAUACUCGGAAAGGGUGCCCUUAAUUGGGUGUUCCCUUGCGGGGUCGGCAUAUUCACUUUGAAAAAAUUAACGUGCUUAAAGCAGGUCAGCAAGAUGCAUGCCGGAAUGGUAUAUGCAUAGAAUGGAGAAAAAUGACUAAGCUCUCAAUAUGUGCGAGAGAGUCUAAGUAAUGGUGAAUAGGGGUGGUUGGAGGCGUCCGUAUUGCUGCGCGAGAGGUGAAAUUCUUAGACCGUGGCAGGACGAUCAACUGCGAAAGCAUUCGUCUAGAUUGCUUUCAUUAACUAAGAACGAAAGUUAGAGGAUCGAAGGCGAUUAGAUACCGCCCUAGUUCUAACUGUAAACUAUGCUAACCGGAUAUUUGUCAAUGGUUAUACCAAAGACACGAUAAGGCGCCCUCGGGGAAACCAGAGUUUUCUAGUUCCGGGGGUAGUACGGUUGCAAAUCUUAAACUUAAAGGAAUUGACGGAAGGGAACCACAAGGAGUGGAGCAUGCGGCUUAAUUUGACUCAACACGGGAAAACUUACCAGGGUAACACACUGGAAGGAUUGACAGUUUGAUAGCACUUUCUUAAUUUAGUGGAUGGUGGUGCAUGGCCGUUCUUAGUUGGUGGAGCGAUUUGUCUGGUUAAUUCCGAUAACGAACGAGAUUUUAUCUUAUUAAAUAGUCUGAGAAUCAGGCACCCUUGGUUCACAGUUGGAGGUGAUUAUGAGCGCCGUAGGGGAUAACGCUGAUUUGAAUUGGUACUUGUUUGCUUUUGGAAUUCUGCCAGGUUUGCAUUGAAAUAUUUGGUUGUUGCCAUCGUUUUGAAAGGUCAGCGAUCAUACUAGAGGUGGUCAAAGACAACCUUGAUGGGUCGCUGUGCUGAUCGAUUCGAACCUACCAGUAUUACAGUCAAUUAUUGUGCAGCUCCUUCGAAGCCGUUAGAAAGGACUAGAUCAUAGAGAAAACUUUAGUAACCUUCGGGUGAAAUAGUUUGUCGAAUCAUGUGUUAAAGCAGCCUACACUGAGCUCCACACCACUGGUACCGAUGGGGUGCGUUUUUGGAACACUCAAUGAGUGUCUUCUUAGAGGUAUCAACGGCGUCCAGUCGUACGAAAUUGAGCAAUAACAGGUCUGUGAUGCCCUUAGAUGUCCUGGGCUGCACGCGCGCUACAAUGUAGUGCUCAACGCGCAGAUCCUUGGCAGAAACGAGAAAGGGAAUCGCUUAAAGCAGGAAAGACGUAAUUGGAAUUGGGGAUUGUAACUGUUCCCCAUGAACGAGGAAUCCCUUGUAAGCUUAAAUCACUAGUUUGUGAUGAAUACGUCCCUGCCCUUUGUACACACCGCCCGUCGCUACUACCGAUUGAAAGGCCAAGUGAGGGCAUUGGACUGUCUCUCUAGGUAGAAUAACCAGUGCAGUAGGAUACAUGCCAUAUCCUGCUGUGUGUUUACAUAAAAACCACAAGAGUCGAUGGAAAGAUGUCCGAACUGGGCCCUUUAGA
rnacentral:rRNA from 1 species